GGCAGUGUAGCGUAGUGGUAACGAGCAAGGCUCAUAACCAAAAGUUUGCUGGUUCGAUUCCCCACUGGGG
rnacentral:tRNA from 1 species